rnacentral:rRNA from 1 species
CAAUACUUUGGUGGCGACCGGCGCACGGGUGCGUAACGCGUAUGUAACCUACCUAUAACAGGGGCAUAACACUGAGAAAUUGGUACUAAUUCCCCAUAAUAUUCGGAGAGGCAUCUCUCCGGGUUGAAAACUCCGGUGGUUAUAGAUGGACAUGCGUUGUAUUAGCUAGUUGGUGAGGUAACGGCUCACCAAGGCAACGAUACAUAGGGGGACUGAGAGGUUAACCCCCCACACUGGUACUGAGACACGGACCAGACUCCUACGGGAGGCAGCAGUGAGGAAUAUUGGUCAAUGGACGCAAGUCUGAACCAGCCAUGCCGCGUGCAGGAAGACGGCUCUAUGAGUUGUAAACUGCUUUUGUACGAGGGUAAACUCACCUACGUGUAGGUGACUGAAAGUAUCGUACGAAUAAGGAUCGGCUAACUCCGUGCCAGCAGCCGCGGUAAUACGGAGGAUUCAAGCGUUAUCCGGAUUUAUUGGGUUUAAAGGGUGCGUAGGCGGUUUGAUAAGUUAGAGGUGAAAUCCCGGGGCUUAACUCCGGAACUGCCUCUAAUACUGUUAGACUAGGGAGUAGUUGCGGUAGGCGGAAUGUAUGGUGUAGCGGUGAAAUGCUUAGAGAUCAUACAGAACACCGAUUGCGAAGGCAGCUUACCAAACUAUAUCUGACGUUGAGGCACGAAAGCGUGGGGAGCAAACAG